rnacentral:rRNA from 1 species
AUUGAACGCUGGCGGCAUGCUUUACACAUGCAAGUCGAACGGUAACAGGCCGCAAGGUGCUGACGAGUGGCGAACGGGUGAGUAAUGCAUCGGAACGUGCCCAGUCGUGGGGGAUAACGCAGCGAAAGCUGUGCUAAUACCGCAUACGAUCUGUGGAUGAAAGCGGGGGACCGUAAGGCCUCGCGCGAUUGGAGCGGCCGAUGUCAGAUAAGGUAGUUGGUGGGGUAAAGGCUCACCAAGCCGACGAUCUGUAGCUGGUCUGAGAGGACGACCAGCCACACUGGGACUGAGACACGGCCCAGACUCCUACGGGAGGCAGCAGUGGGGAAUUUUGGACAAUGGGCGCAAGCCUGAUCCAGCAAUGCCGCGUGCAGGAAGAAGGCCUUCGGGUUGUAAACUGCUUUUGUACGGAGCGAGAAGGCUCUCUCUAAUACAGGGGGCUCAUGACGGUACCGUAAGAAUAAGCACCGGCUAACUACGUGCCAGCCGCCGCAGUAAAAC